CCUCCAUUCUCGAUCACUCCUUCUCCUCUCUCAAUCUCAUCUCAUCCUUCUGGGUUAGGCAAAAUCUCCUUCUGAGGCUAUGAUGAAGAUCAGAAGAGAAGAAGGCUUCAAGAGAAAGCAAAGAUUCAGGGAAGGAUGAAACUCAGACAAUUGCUUGCCGUCGACCUCAGCGACUAUUGGUACAGAGUUUGCUCAGCUGAUGAGUUCUUCCACUUCACCAAACUCAAUCCUAAAGCCGCAUAUAUGGUUAAUGAGGUCAGGUUCCGUUGAUGGGUUCCUCAAGAACACUGGAUUUAAUAACAAGGCUGCAAUGGGAAUCAAAAUCUAUACGACAAUAGAAGAUAAGAGCUUGAACAUAUUCAGGAAGGGAUAACGACUUUCUCUAUUUUACUCUGUUUCAGUUUCAAGAAAGUUUAGACUUUUUUUUUAAUACGACUUGUCAUCAGGGCUUGUCAAUGUGGAUGUUACUGAGACUAUCAUUCCAAAGUCUAGGCAUAGUUUACGGCAAUUUAGGGACUUCUCCAUUGUAUGUGUUCUACAAUACAUUCCCUGAUGGCAUUAAGGAUAGUUAAGAUGUGAUCGGGGCUCUUUCUUUGAUCAUUUACUCUCUUCUGCUUAUACCUCUCAUCAAGUAUGUGUUCAUUGUCUGCAAAUCUAAUGACAAUGGUCAAGGUAAGAAGCUUGUGAGAGUAAAGAAUCUAGGAAGAUAGCUCUUCUCUUCGUUGUUCUUCUCGGGACGUGUAUGAUGAUCGGUGAUGGUAUCUUAACUCCAGCCAUCUCCGUUCUUUCAGCGACUGGUGGGAUCAAAGUCAGCAGCCCAAAGAUGAGCAGAGGUAACAAAACAUUCACUGCACCUUUAUGCUAGUUAGUUCUUUCUAACUUUACUACUUGUUGUUGUU